rnacentral:rRNA from 1 species
UACGUAGGGGGCUAGCGUUGUUCGGAAUUACUGGGCGUAAAGGGCUCGUAGGCGGCCAACUAAGUCGGAUGUGAAAUCCCCAGGCUUAACCUGGGAACUGCAUCCGAUACUGGAUGGCUUGAAUCCGGGAGAGGGAUGCAGAAUUCCAGGUGUAGCGGUGAAAUGCGUAGAUAUCAGGAAGAACACCCGUGGCGAAGGCGGCUCUCUGGGACGGUACUGACGCUGAGACGCGAAAGCGUGGGGAGCGAACAGG